CUUAGGAAAACAUUCCUGCCAGCCACUGAAGGAGGGCUGCUGGUUCAGGCUCGGCAGGGGCUCUGGCAAGAAUGGAAGGCUGGACUCAAGGUGAUGGAGGGCGCGUCUGCACCCAUGACUUCAUGCUGGUAGGACAGCCAGACUGAUCUGCAGUAAUGGCAAGCAGAACCCAGGGCAAAGAAAUGGACAUCAAAUUCAUGAGCUCUAACAAAAAGAUGGGAUUUCCAAAGAGUUAAGGAAUGCAUAUGGGAACAAAUCAUGACAUAAGAGGCAGCAGAGAAGCAUGACACCCAACUCUCUUCUCAAUAGAUGAUCCAGCAAAAGAGGCUAUGAGAUGUAACCAGCCUGCUAUCUGUUUUUGUCAAUAAAGUUUUAUUGAAACAGA